rnacentral:tRNA from 1 species
GCCUCUGUAGCUCAGUUGGUUAGAGCACUGCACCAGAAUUACAGGGCUGCAUGUUCCAUUCCUGCCAGGGACC